rnacentral:rRNA from 1 species
UACGGGGGGGGCAAGCGUUGUUCGGAAUUACUGGGCGUAAAGGGCUCGUAGGCGGCCAACUAAGUCAUACGUGAAAUCCCUCGGCUUAACCGGGGAACUGCGUCUGAUACUGGAUGGCUUGAGAUUGGGAGAGAGAUGCGGAAUUCCAGGUGUAGCGGUGAAAUGCGUAGAUAUCUGGAGGAACACCGGUGGCGAAGGCGGCAUCCUGGACCAACACUGACGCUGAGGCGCGAAAGCUAGGGGAGCAAACGGG